rnacentral:rRNA from 1 species
GUGAAUCAUCGAGUCUUUGAACGCACCUUGCACCCUUUGGUAUUCCGAAGGGUACACCCGUUUGAGUGUCAUUGUAAUCUCACUACGAUCGACUUAUGUCUUUCGGUAUGUGGACUUGGAUGUUGCCGUGGAUGUCUAUGGCUCGUCUGAAAUGCUUCAGUGUACCCCGCAAUGCGGCGUAUUCGGUGUGAUACAUCUUCACCGGAGUCGAUCCUUUGUUGGGUCGUCGUCUGUCAAUGUGUGGCUCUAUGCUUCGAACCGUCUUGAUAGGACAAUCUCUGACAAUUCGACCUCAAAUCGGGUGGGACUACCCGCUGAACUUAAGCAUAUCAAUAAGCGGAGG